rnacentral:rRNA from 2 species
AGCGUACACGGUGGAUGCCCUGGCAGUCAGAGGCGAUGAAGGGCGUGCUAAUCUGCGAUAAGCGCCGGUAAGGUGAUAUGAACCGUUAUAACCGGCGAUACCCGAAUGGGGAAACCCAGUGUGAUUCGUCACACUAUCAUUAACUGAAUCCAUAGGUUAAUGAGGCGAACCGGGGGAACUGAAACAUCUAAGUACCCCGAGGAAAAGAAAUCAACCGAGAUUCCCCCAGUAGCGGCGAGCGAACGGGGAGGAGCCCAGAGCCUGAAUCAGCAUGUGUGUUAGUGGAAGCGUCUGGAAAGGCGCGCGAUACAGGGUGACAGCCCCGUACACAAAAGCGCAUGUGCUGUGAGCUCGAUGAGUAGGGCGGGACACGUGGUAUCCUGUCUGAAUAUGGGGGGACCAUCCUCCAAGGCUAAAUACUCCUGACUGACCGAUAGUGAACCAGUACCGUGAGGGAAAGGCGAAAAGAACCCCGGCGAGGGGAGUGAAAAAGAACCUGAAACCGUGUACGUACAAGCAGUGGGAGCACCCUUUGGGGUGUGACUGCGUACCUUUUGUAUAAUGGGUCAGCGACUUAUAUUCUGUAGCAAGGUUAACCGUAUAGGGGAGCCGUAGGGAAACCGAGUCUUAACCGGGCGUUAAGUUGCAGGGUAUAGACCCGAAACCCGGUGAUCUAGCCAUGGGCAGGUUGAAGGUUGGGUAACACUAACUGGAGGACCGAACCGACUAAUGUUGAAAAAUUAGCGGAUGACCUGUGGCUGGGGGUGAAAGGCCAAUCAAACCGGGAGAUAGCUGGUUCUCCCCGAAAGCUAUUUAGGUAGCGCCUCGUGAAUUCAUCUCCGGGGGUAGAGCACUGUUUCGGCUAGGGGGCCAUCCCGGCUUACCAACCCGAUGCAAACUGCGAAUACCGGAGAAUGUUAUCACGGGAGACACACGGCGGGUGCUAACGUCCGUCGUGAAGAGGGAAACAACCCAGACCGCCAGCUAAGGUCCCAAAGUCAUGGUUAAGUGGGAAACGAUGUGGGAAGGCCCAGACAGCCAGGAUGUUGGCUUAGAAGCAGCCAUCAUUUAAAGAAAGCGUAAUAGCUCACUGGUCGAGUCGGCCUGCGCGGAAGAUGUAACGGGGCUAAACCAUGCACCGAAGCUGCGGCAGCGACGCUGAUGCGUUGUUGGGUAGGGGAGCGUUCUGUAAGCCUGUGAAGGUGGCCUGUGAGGGUUGCUGGAGGUAUCAGAAGUGCGAAUGCUGACAUAAGUAACGAUAAAGCGGGUGAAAAGCCCGCUCGCCGGAAGACCAAGGGUUCCUGUCCAACGUUAAUCGGGGCAGGGUGAGUCGACCCCUAAGGCGAGGCCGAAAGGCGUAGUCGAUGGGAAACGGGUUAAUAUUCCCGUACUUGGUGUUACUGCGAAGGGGGGACGGAGAAGGCUAUGUUGGCCGGGCGACGGUUGUCCCGGUUUAAGCGUGUAGGUGUGUGUUCCAGGUAAAUCCGGUUCACUUUAACACUGAGGCGUGACGACGAGGCACUACGGUGCUGAAGCAACAAAUGCCCUGCUUCCAGGAAAAGCCUCUAAGCAUCAGGUAACAUCAAAUCGUACCCCAAACCGACACAGGUGGUCAGGUAGAGAAUACCAAGGCGCUUGAGAGAACUCGGGUGAAGGAACUAGGCAAAAUGGUGCCGUAACUUCGGGAGAAGGCACGCUGACACGUAGGUGAAGUGAUUUACUCAUGGAGCUGAAGUCAGUCGAAGAUACCAGCUGGCUGCAACUGUUUAUUAAAAACACAGCACUGUGCAAACACGAAAGUGGACGUAUACGGUGUGACGCCUGCCCGGUGCCGGAAGGUUAAUUGAUGGGGUCAGCGCAAGCGAAGCUCCUGAUCGAAGCCCCGGUAAACGGCGGCCGUAACUAUAACGGUCCUAAGGUAGCGAAAUUCCUUGUCGGGUAAGUUCCGACCUGCACGAAUGGCGUAAUGAUGGCCAGGCUGUCUCCACCCGAGACUCAGUGAAAUUGAACUCGCUGUGAAGAUGCAGUGUACCCGCGGCAAGACGGAAAGACCCCGUGAACCUUUACUAUAGCUUGACACUGAACAUUGAGCCUUGAUGUGUAGGAUAGGUGGGAGGCUUUGAAGUGUGGACGCCAGUCUGCAUGGAGCCGACCUUGAAAUACCACCCUUUAAUGUUUGAUGUUCUAACGUGGACCCGUUACCCGGGUUGCGGACAGUGUCUGGUGGGUAGUUUGACUGGGGCGGUCUCCUCCUAAAGAGUAACGGAGGAGCACGAAGGUUGGCUAAUCCUGGUCGGACAUCAGGAGGUUAGUGCAAUGGCAUAAGCCAGCUUGACUGCGAGCGUGACGGCGCGAGCAGGUGCGAAAGCAGGUCAUAGUGAUCCGGUGGUUCUGAAUGGAAGGGCCAUCGCUCAACGGAUAAAAGGUACUCCGGGGAUAACAGGCUGAUACCGCCCAAGAGUUCAUAUCGACGGCGGUGUUUGGCACCUCGAUGUCGGCUCAUCACAUCCUGGGGCUGAAGUAGGUCCCAAGGGUAUGGCUGUUCGCCAUUUAAAGUGGUACGCGAGCUGGGUUUAGAACGUCGUGAGACAGUUCGGUCCCUAUCUGCCGUGGGCGCUGGAGAACUGAGGGGGGCUGCUCCUAGUACGAGAGGACCGGAGUGGACGCAUCACUGGUGUUCGGGUUGUCAUGCCAAUGGCACUGCCCGGUAGCUAAAUGCGGAAGAGAUAAGUGCUGAAAGCAUCUAAGCACGAAACUUGCCCCGAGAUGAGUUCU